UAUUUUCUAGACAUGACUACGUGACUUGAGGAAAAUAAGAAAUUUAUUAAGGAGAAGAGAUUUUACUCCUGACAGCAGAUGCAUCGGAAACAAUCAAACAACGCUAGUAACAAAAGGCGUUUGGUUUUGCAAUAUUUCAUCAGUUCUUCAAAAGAAACAACAUGAACAAGUCAGCACUUCUACUUUUGCUUCUCAUCGGACUUCUCGUCCUCACUGAAACUACUACUGCGUGGUGGCAUCGUCGUCGUCGCAGCAAUCUUCGUCGUCGUGCCCCCCGGUAUAAUCAACUAAAAAUACCACGAAUGAACGAAAUUCUAGACUUGGAGUUCGAGGAUAUUUCUCCAAAGAUGAAAUUAUGAUGAAGUUUCCUUUCAAGCUUCAAUCGUAAAAUUUUAAUAAAUUAAACAUCAUCAAAUAUA